GGUAGUGUGGCUGAGUGGUCUAAGGCGCUGGAUUAAAGCUCCAAUCUCUUUGGAGGUGUGGGUUUGAAUCCCACCACUGUCA